UACUUGAAUUAAAGAAAUUUAAUCAAAUUGAAGAAUUUAGUCAAAUUAACGUUUUUUUUCUCGGUGUAUUUACAACUGAAAUUUUAAAGACUUAGUGACUCUGUUGAAAGUCGGAAAAAGAAUUAUACACGAGACGCCCGAAGAAAGUGCAUCGAUAAUGACGACGUAAAGGAACGGAAACGUUUGGAGGGAAUGAGCGCGAUGUCCGAACAGAAUGGAACAUACGAAGAAGUUUGGCUCCGCGGGGACAAGUGAAAGCCACGUGGGAGUUGACGGCCAGGGGCGAGCAGCGUCGAUUACGAUUUCACAGGCGGCACGUGGUUCAUAAUCGGAGCGGAGAAAACGCCGCAGGUGGAUAACACGUAGACGUUGCUCGUGACGUAACAGAGCGAACGUUUAUGCACAUCGUGCACAACGACGACGACGUCGGCGGCGGUACCUUUCCCAAUUUUCCAAUUUCUUCUCACGGAAGCGUCCAAUUCGCCGCAUGAUUCAGUUGCACGAAACGAAAAACGACGUGCCGCCGGGCGUUGGUUGGUCGGCCCCGUUAUUCUCUCGGCCUCGUAAAAGUGGCGCAUUUGAAUGUCCAGCAACACCUUAGGGCCGUCAAGAGUCGUGCGAGGUAAUAUUUCACCCGCGCAGAAGGAGAGAUAAAGAGAGAGAGAGAGAGAGAGAAAGAAAGGUGAAUUUGCAGUGUUUGUAAUUUCUAUUAAACUAGAGAGAGAGUUGGUGUAAUACUGUUAUCUGUAGCGAUCUGCUCGCUUUCUUAAUAUAAACAAGCCUCUAUAUAA